rnacentral:rRNA from 1 species
UACAGAGGUCCCAAGCGUUACUGAGAAUCACUGGGUUUAAAGGGUGCGUAGGUGGUCCGUUAAGUCAGUUGUGGAAUCCCCGGGCUCAACCCGGGAACUGCUUCUGAUACUGGCGGACUUGAGGCCAGUAGGGGUCACUGGAACUGACGGUGGAGCGGUGAAAUGCUUAGAUAUGACAUAGAACACCAAUUGCGAAGGCAGCUCGUUACACGAAUAUUGACUCUGAGGCACGAAAGCGUGGGGAUCAAACAGG